GCUACCUUUUGCAGCUCUGGAACUACCCCUGUGCCGAAAGUAGCAGCUAAACAGCCAUUUGAAGUGAACUUGGUGGCAGGAAAGAAAUAUUCCUGGUGUUCAUGUGGAUUAAGCAAAAAACAGCCUUUCUGUGAUGGAUCAGGCAGGAAAACUGAUUUACAAUUUGCUCCUCUUCGGUUUUUUGUAGAAGAGUCCAAAACAGUCUUGCUGUGUGGGUGCAAGCAGACCAAAACACCACCCUAUUGUGACGGCACUCACAAGGAAGAAUUUGCACAGCAUGCUAUGUUGGAAAGAAACUGACAAAGGAUGAAAGCUUCUAUAGAGAACUGUGCAGUACAGAAGGAGAAUUUGCAGAGUUAUUUUUUCCGCAUAAGAUGUUUGCUUUGUAUACUAGGUUAAAUUUUAUAAAGGGGUUGUGUUCUUUUUGUGUGCAUGUAGUCACGGGGUUUGGCUUUUUGGUAUUCAGUUGCAACUGAUCACAGGUUCGCAUAGUAGUUGUAGACACUGCAAUUUGUGGGUGUUUUGAAGAGUUAGAGGUAUGACCAUUUGUUGUAUGUGGAGGAACUUCAUAAUCUGGUUCAUUCAUCAUCAGUUUUUCAAGUACCCUCCAUAUGGUACAGGAUUCAGAAUAGUAACAUGUUUCCACUUAUUACAGAAUAGUUUUUAACCAGCCUUUCUUUAUAAAGUAUGUAAGAUUCAUUUGGAGGGUACUGGGCAAACAGAACUGAAAUUUGCUUUUCACUCUUCUUUCCCAGACCUUGUUGCCUUGCAGGAUGGUCUUGCUGAAUGCCCAUUAAAUAUUGAUUCCUUCCAAUGCACAAUGUCUCGAGGUGGAGAAAAUUGCCAAAUGAAUUUUAGCAAAAGAUGGAACUCUAUUACAGAAAUACAUGUAGGCACAUACAUGUGAAAAUGGCAGACUUGUAUUGUACAUGUCUAAUACAAGUAUGUAUUUUUAUAGUAUAUCUAUUUCUGUGUAGUAGUUUAUUGCAAGUAAGUUAUGUUACAUAGUUUUGUGAUGGUAACCUAAUGGUGGUUGAAACAAAUGACAGAAUACCUUUGUUCCAUUUGGUAUAGAGUAGACUUUUCUAUGUUCUAUGUGAUACUGACAGAUGUUGGUAACUGAUUCAGUUCAUUACAUCACUGUAUCAAGUACAUUAACAUAACCCACUCCUGUUGGAAAAUAUAUAUAUAUUGCAUUCAUGUGAGAAACUUCAUCUUCAUAUCCUCUUAUGGCAGCUCUGGAGAAAAGGCAAAGGAGCACCCCAUGUACAGCACUUCCACCACUAGUCAGCAGCUGCAGCCAUCUGAAACCAGUUAUGCUAUACUCUGCACUAGAAGUUCCACAGACAAAAUAGUAGAUCACCUUAGAAACGGGAGUCAUACCAUACACAAGUGAAGUACCAAAUGCGGUAUGAAACAUAACUACAUCCAGUAACAGUAAAAACUCGAGGCAGAUCACUACACACAUUGUAUUUCACUAUUGGUCUCUGUACACGGUUCUUGAUGUUGCAUAUUACUCUUAACAGGAUCCCAUUCAUGGUGUCUGAAUAACUGAACAAGAGGAAGAUUCUGUUAUUACAGCCUUAGGAUGUGUGUGGUUGGGUGGGGAGAACGACAUGUUAGUCUUGUAGAAAAGCCCUGAAUGUUUCUACCCAUUUUUUCUGAAAGAAGUAACUGGUCAGUUGAUGUGAAAGUAACAUACAUUUUUGUACUGGCUUUCGGAUAAUAAAAACUUUUCAUCUUUU